rnacentral:rRNA from 1 species
UGGGGGAUAUUGGACAAUGGGGGCAACCCUGAUCCAGCGACGCCGCGUGAGGGAAGAAGGUUUUCGGAUUGUAAACCUCUGUUGACGGAGAAAAAAAUGAUGGUAUCCGUUUAGAAAGCCACGGCUAACUACGUGCCAGCAGCCGCGGUAAUACGUAGGUGGCAAGCGUUGUCCGGAAUUACUGGGUGUAAAGGGAGUGUAGGCGGGAUAUCAAGUCAGAAGUGAAAAUUAUGGGCUCAACUCGUAACCUGCUUUUGAAACUGACAUUCUUGAGUGAAGUAGAGGCAAGCGGAAUUCCUAGUGUAGCGGUGAAAUGCGUAGAUAUUAGGAGGAACACCAGUGGCGAAGGCGGCUUGCUGGGCUUUUACUGACGCUGAGGCUCGAAAGCGUGGGGAGCAAACAGGAUUAGAUACCCUGGUAGUCCACGCCGUAAACGAUGAUUACUAGGUGUGGGGGGAUUGACCCCUUCCGUGCCGGAGUAAACACAAUAAGUAAUCCACCUGGGGAGUACGACCGCAAGGUUGAAACUCAAAGGAAUUGACGGGGGCCCGCACAAGCAGUGGAGUAUGUGGUUUAAUUCGACGCAACGCGAAGAACCUUACCAGGUCUUGACAUCGAGUGACCGCCUAAGAGAUUAGGUCUUCCCUUCGGGGACACAAAGACAGGUGGUGCAUGGUUGUCGUCAGCUCGUGUCGUGAGAUGUUGGGUUAAGUCCCGCAACGAGCGCAACCCUUAUCAUUAGUUGCUACGCAAGAGCACUCUAAUGAGACUGCCGUUGACAAAACGGAGGAAGGUGGGGAUGACGUCAAAUCAUCAUGCCCUUUAUGACCUGGGCUACACACGUACUACAAUGGCGUUUAACAAAGAGAAGCAAAGCCGCGAGGCAGAGCAAAUCUCCAAAAAACGUCUCAGUUCGGAUUGUAGGCUGCAACUCGCCUACAUGAAGUCGGAAUUGCUAGUAAUCGUAGGUCAGCAUACUACGGUGAAUACGUUCCC